GACGAACGCUGGCGGCGUGCUUAACACAUGCAAGUCGAACGGUAAGGCCCUUCGGGGUACACGAGUGGCGAACGGGUGAGUAACACGUGGGUGAUCUGCCCUGCACUUCGGGAUAAGCCUGGGAAACUGGGUCUAAUACCGGAUAGGACCACUGCCUGCAUGGGUGGUGGUGGAAAGCUUUUGCGGUGUGGGAUGGGCCCGCGGCCUAUCAGCUUGUUGGUGGGGUGAUGGCCUACCAAGGCGACGACGGGUAGCCGGCCUGAGAGGGUGACCGGCCACACUGGGACUGAGAUACGGCCCAGACUCCUACGGGAGGCAGCAGUGGGGAAUAUUGCACAAUGGGCGAAAGCCUGACGCAGCAACGCCGCGUGCGGGAUGACAGCCUUCGUGGUUGUAAACCGCUUUCAGCAGGGACGAAAAUGACGGUACCUGCAGAAGAAGCUCCGGCUAACUACGUGCCAGCCGCCGCGGUAA
rnacentral:rRNA from 1 species